UCCGUUUGUUUUCUGAAAUUUGAAUUAUUCUUGAGUUUGUUGUUAAUUUUAAAAUGGCUUCUAAGAGGAAGGUGUAUUGUGUUUUUGGAUGUAGUGAAAUGGGAGCAAUUAUGCAUCGUUUCCCUGACCCUUCAAGACAACGAGUUGUUUGCUACCGGGAUGUCAAUUGUUGGUGAAUGACUAAAAGAUCUUGAGCCUGACAUGAUCUAUAGAAACAAGAGACUGUGAUUACCAUUUCAAACCUGAGCACAAAGUUUCAGGUCACCAAUUACUCCAUUUAUCUGUUCCAUCAAUCUACUUGAGUGGUAUAUUUCAUUCUGCGAGUACAGCAGUUUACAUGGAACAUAACUAUUCUCAGCCAAGGAUGUGGCCUUGUGAGACAAGGGCAAAUGAAGAUAAUGACGUCCCAUUAAAUCAGCAAAUUUUAGAUAAAGAUAUGGGUGUAUCUUUGGCGCAACACCAAGAAUAUAAAAAGCUUCUCAAGCAAUUGAAAAAGUCUGAGAAGACAAAGGCUGCUUUCAAAAAGAAAUAUAUCCUGGCCAAAAAAAUUACAAAAACAGCAGCUUUUGACAUCAUUUCAAAGAAAAUGUCAUCAACUGCGAAGAUAUUUUGCCAAAUGCAAGUCACACAAAGUGGGAAGAAAAAACGUGGAAGAAGAUUCACAUUAGAUGAAAAAAUAUUAGCAUUGUCUUUGUACAAACCAUCACCAAAAUCAUAUCGAUUACUGAGCAAAUUGUGUGUGCUACCUAGCAGGAGAACACUACAAAAUUUGCUGUCCAAAAUUUCAUUGACAACUGGAAUUAAUGACAUUAUUUUUGAACAUUUAAAAAAGAAAGUUAAUAAGAUGCCUGAAUCUCAUAAAUAUUGUGCGUUCAUAGAGAUCUAGAGAGAUGCCAAUCGCUUGCGCUGAGUACGAAACCUGGUGUCUCAUAAAAAUUUACUACACGGCCGUACUACACGAUCGAACGUUUUUGUUAGCUUUAGUAUGUUCAUUAUACAUUGCGGUAUUCGAACUACGCGUUUGAAUAGAGUCACGUACAGAAGAAGCAUUGUAAACUAUUUACAUAAAUUAUUGUGACUGUCGUUCUGUCACAAUAUAAUAAAACCAAGAAUCAUUCUACGUAAUAUUGUUUUUGAAAUUUUAGUAAGAAAAUCGUAUAAUUUCCAGUACUUACCGAUGGUAGGUAGAUUACCUAUGUGAUUCCAUUUGACUUAAAGUUGCUAGUUUCACUUCGGUUUUUAAAAACUUUAACGGAACAACACGGCAUUGUCAAAUAAUACCCGGCCGACGGUCGAACGUCAACUGAAUGCAACAAACAGCAUGUGUUCUCUUUUUGGGCAUAUUGCUGCGACACCGGCCCCGCCCCCUAACCAUAUCUCCCUUUAGUUUCUGUGAUCUGUGUGUGCGUUAUUAUUUGACGAGAUGGCAAUCGGACCAGGUGUGUCAUAUGACAAAAAAAAUUGCAAGUUGACUGGGUUUGUAGAUGAUGGUAAAACAUGCACAACUGAGUAUUGUGAUCAUGUUUUGGUGUUUAUGAUCAGAGGAGUCAUAAAAAAUAUAAGCAACCCCUGGCUUUUUAUUAUUGCAGUGGAAGCACAAAGGCGAUUGAUUUAAAAAACCAAAUAAAAACAGUGGUCGAAAAAGUUCACGAAACGGGCCUAAAAAUUUGCGCAACUGUUUGCGAUCAAGGUGCCUCCAACAUUGCAGCGAUCAACAAAUUAAAAAAUGAAACAAAGCAAAAAUACCUACGAAAUGGACAAGAAAUCAAAGAAGAAUUUUUCAAAGUGGGCGAUAUAAAAAUAUAUCAUAUUUUUGAUCCACCACAUCUGAUAAAAGGGGUCAGAAAUAAUUUAAUCUCUAAAAAUUUAAAAUGGGACCACAUUGUGGCCUUGUACAAUAGAGCCCCUGGGUAAAAAGGCGUCAGGCUGGUGCCAAAAUUAACAGCCCAACACGUUUUGCCGGACAAAAUCCCGAAGAUGAGGGUAAAACACUGCACCCAAGUAUUCAGCAAGUCUGUUGGAGUAGCCAUUGGAUUCAUGGGAGAAUCGGGGGCAACUGACAAAGAUUGCUUGGACACAGCAGAUUUGCUGAUGUUAUUCGACGACCUUUUUGACAGUGUCAAUGGCAGUUACAGCUAAGUGAGGGAAGGAAAAAUCUAUAGGUCUGCAGUAACUCCAACCUCACCUCACCACAAAUUGUGGAACGAAAGUUUGCCUAUUCUAAAAUCAAUGUUUAUAAAUGGAUAUAAUCAAGGAGUAGUGCCUUCCUUAUCUAGCUGGGUCAAAACUAUAGAGGGGUUUAAAGCAGUUGCUAAAUAUUUAAGCGCUAAAGGUAUACAUUCACUAUUGCUGCGCAACUUUAAUCAGGAUGCACUGGAGAAUUUUUUUGGGGCAAUUCGAGCUCACGGUUGUAGCAAUAUUAUGCCUACUUCGUCUGCAUUUGAAGCAGCUUAUAAAAUAUUGUUAAUAAAUAAUAUUUCAUCUUCACAUUCAGUUGGUUCAAACUGUGAAAAAGACGACAGUGUAUGUUUGCAAUCAUUAAAACAUUUUUUAAUGAAACCUGUAGACAACAUGAUAUCAGCUGAAUGUGAAGAUGAAAUUAAUAAUGAUCAUUUAUGUAUAGAGUACAUACAGAUAAAUUAAUAAUGAGCAAAACUCCCGAACAUGUUGAGAGAAGCGCAGCAAUAGGAUAUUGUAGUGAAUGGAUAGCACGACUUGCAAAAAAAAAAUAUAUAUAUAUAUAUAUAUAUAUAUAUAAACUGCGGCACUUGCACAAAUAAUAUGGAAGAAAAGGAAUUACAAACUUUCCACAAAUUUAUAAAAAUGAAAGAAUAUGAGGGUAAAAACUGGUUGUGCUAUCCUACAAGAGCAUUGUUUGAUUUUUUUGCCCAAGUAAUAUAUAUAUAUAUGUAAUAUUUGUAUAGAAAUUCUCAAAGAAAAUGCAAAUAAAAAAAAAAUUAUUAAAUUAUAUAAAGCUGAUAGUCAGUGUGAACAUUUGUACUAACACCUUUUUAACUUGCACAAGACACAAGGAGGCAUUGUGUGAGUACAUUAUAAAUAAAAGUACAAUAUUCUUUAUCCAUGCUUGGUGCAAAGAAAUCAUUACUAGAUAGGACGUAACUGCUAUAGCAUUCGUCUGCUAUAGCAGGUACGUCCUAUCUAAUAAUAAGUAUGUAGUAAAAUGGGACACACCUGCUAUAGUAGACGAGUGCCAUAGCAGCUGUGUCCCAUUUUACAGCAUAUAUGUCUAUGAAAUGGGACACAGCUGUUAUAGCAGACGAAUUUGGUAUCAAAUAGGAUAUAUACAGGUGCUAUAGCAGUUGACUGCCAUAGGCUGUUUUUAUGGUAAUGCCACUUCUUUUUGAUAAAAAAUAAAACACCGUUAUUUUGUGACAUUUUAAGCUUUAAUAUUAAUCUUAGAAAAGCGAUAAAAAACACAUCAAAAAGAGUUUACAUCAGAUGAAUGCCAAAACAGUGAAAAAAUCUUCAAGCUUCAUCCCUAACCAUAUGCCAUGAUUCAAAGCAACUUGGACAAAGAGGUGGCUUGUCAAUACAACCUUUACAGCGAUAGCUCGUUUGCUUUGAUAGUUUGUUUUUAGUGCAAACUCGGCAUCUCAAGAAAACUUUAUUGCGUUUUGCGUUCUCAGCCAGUGGUAUGAGUUCUGGCCAGUGUCCAGAUUCAGCCACCGUCUGAAGAAGACUAUCAGUAGUUUUUUUCUUUCGCCUGCUUGAAGUCUUUGCCAGUCUCAUUUGUUGUAUAUCUAAAUGAUAGUGUGUUAUCAGUCACCUGUAGGUAUGAAUUUAUUAUACUCUCUCGGAAACUCAGCAAGGUUGUGUUUGAGUUACAAUACUUUUUGAACAUAUAGUACGCAUUCCACACCAUCAUGUCCAAUAAAUGUAAAAAUACUUUUUUGUAACACCUGAUUGUCUUUUUUGGAGUGGAAUAAUAAGCAAUCAUUUGGUCGGACUUGUCAAUGCCAGACAUAAAUUUGUUAUAUUCACUCACUUCAAUUGGUUUUUUCUUUGCUUGCCCAUACCUGUUUCUAGUUAUUAUUAGACGUGGUUGGUGUUUUGUUGUUAGCAUAUACACAACCCUUUUUAACCGACUUCAAAAAAAAGGAGGAGGUUAUCAAUUCGGCCGGUAUGUUUUUUUUUUUUUUAUGUAUGUACACCGAUUACUCCGAGGUUUC